UACGGAGGGUGCAAGCGUUAUCCGGAUUCACUGGGUUUAAAGGGUGCGUAGGCGGGCAGGUAAGUCAGUGGUGAAAUCCUUGAGCUUAACUCGAGAACUGCCAUUGAUACUAUCUGUCUUGAAUAUUGUGGAGGUAAGCGGAAUAUGUCAUGUAGCGGUGAAAUGCUUAGAUAUGACAUAGAACACCAAUUGCGAAGGCAGCUGGCUACACAUAUAUUGACACUGAGGCACGAAAGCGUGGGGAUCAAACAGG
rnacentral:rRNA from 1 species